UACGGAGGAUGCAAGCGUUGUUCGGAAUUAUUGGGCGUAAAGGGCGUGUAGGCGGUUAGCUAAGUCAGAUGUGAAAUCCCUAGGCUUAACCUAGGAAUUGCAUUUGAAACUGGUUAGCUAGAGUACGGGAGAGGAAGGUGGAAUUCCUGGUGUAGAGGUGAAAUUCGUAGAUAUCGGGAAGAACACCGGUGGCGAAGGCGGCCUUCUGGCCCGAUACUGACGCUGAUACGCGAAAGCGUGGGGUGCAAAC
rnacentral:rRNA from 1 species